rnacentral:rRNA from 1 species
UACGUAGGGACCGAGCGUUGUCCGGAUUCAUUGGGCGUAAAGAGCUCGUAGGCGGCCACUCAAGUCGAAUGUGAAACCUCGAGGCUCAACCUCGAGCCCGCAUUCGAUACUGGGCGGCUAGAGUCUGGUAGGGGGAUCUGGAAUUCCUGGUGUAGCGGUGGAAUGCGCAGAUAUCAGGAGGAACACCGGUGGCGAAGGCGGGAUCCUGGGCCAGUACUGACGCUGAGGAGCGAAAGCGUGGGGAGCAAACAGG